GCCAGUAUGGGAACAGUUCCAUCACUCCACUCGCCUGACCGGUUAUAUAAAUACCUGGAAGAACAGAGGAGAGAGAGCGAGAGAGAGAAACAUGGUUCAUCAUUACACACUAUGCUGGGAACUGAAAGAAAAAUUGCAGCUUGGUACUGAGAAAGCACAAAACGUAAAGCUUUCCCGUCUUCAAGACUUUCAUAUGGUUGGAAAACAUAACGUUACAGCUUUACCUCCGACUGUUACAAAGCACUGACGCUGGAGACUCCUUCCAAAAAAAUGAGCUUCCUGAGCAAACAGCAAAGCAGGGCCAUCUGUCAGAAGGAGCAAGACGACAGGUAGCCAUCUGGACCAGCUUCUACUCAGCAGGAGACAUGGAACACACUGGUCCAAAAUACACCUCGUAAAGGUUUCAAGGACGGGGAAAUAGUACUAAUGUUUACUGUUUUCUUAAUUCGUUAAAUUAAAGAAUAUAUAUUUAGGACCCUUCGUUCAUCUAGUCACCUCAAUGUUUCUGAAAUUUACUACACAAAAAAAAAAAAAAAUCCUAAUUUGGUUGGUUUUGAGAUUCUUCAUCGUUACGGCUGUGACAUUCGAUUCCUAUUGACCGUAAAGUCUCCUCACAGCCUUCCCAAGCUCAGCGUCGUCAUGUGACCUUCCAGGAAAAACAAGAAAUGUUCAAUAUUAGCAACGUGAAGCAGUUUUUCAGCCUCCGAUAAACAGGCGAGUUUUGUGACCGGACACAUUUUAAUGCGCUCGCACGUCGCAGAAGAAAAUGAUAUCUGUUAAAGCCCCUCCCAAUUACGAGUUAAGACAAUUGAUCAAAUUUGACAAGUAAUACCUCUGGAUAUUUGACUGUUACAUUUUUUGCAGAUCUAACAGAAAUAAAAUGUAAAAAACUAAAUAAACAGUUAAAUAAAGAUAUUGAAAUACAGCAAGUUAAUUGUAUUUUUUUUUUUUUUUUUUUCCUGUGCUCAGAGCUUUAAACUCCAACACUACUGUAAGAUGUUGUACCUCUGGGGAAUUUUAGCCAAUUCGUGAAGAAAAUCCAUCCUGAUCCAAUCAUCUGAGACGGUCAAUUGUACAAAGCACCAAAAAAAACCACCGUCCCCUACGUUUUUCAGUCUAAUGAUGAUAUGAGGGCGAACUUUGAUACAAAUGGACAAGCAUGUAACUAGUGGUGUGUGUGUGUGUGUGUGUUCUUUAACAGUGGGCAAAUAUGGACACUCACAGGACUGACAGUAAUAACAGAUUCCACACAGAUAAUAAAGAAUCGCAGUUUCCUUCACGAUGAACACCGAGAACACCGAUUAUUUUUAUAGGCGGAAAAGACGA